UCGUAACAAGGUUUCCGUAGGUGAACCUGCGGAAGGAUCAUUAGUGAAUAUAGGACGUCCAACUUAACUUGGAGUCCGAACUCUCACUUUCUAACCCUGUGCACUUGUUUGGGAUAGUAACUCUCGCAAGAGAGCGAACUCCUAUUCACUUAUAAACACAAAGUCUAUGAAUGUAUUAAAUUUUAUAACAAAAUAAAACUUUCAACAACGGAUCUCUUGGCUCUCGCAUCGAUGAAGAACGCAGCGAAAUGCGAUAAGUAAUGUGAAUUGCAGAAUUCAGUGAAUCAUCGAAUCUUUGAACGCACCUUGCGCUCCAUGGUAUUCCGUGGAGCAUGCCUGUUUGAGUGUCAUGAAUACUUCAACCCUCCUCUUUCUUAAUGAUUGAAGAGGUGUUUGGUUUCUGAGCGCUGCUGGCCUUUACGGUCUAGCUCGUUCGUAAUGCAUUAGCAUCCGCAAUCGAACUUCGGAUUGACUUGGCGUAAUAGACUAUUCGCUGAGGAAUUCUAGUCUUCGGACUAGAGCCGGGUUGGGUUAAAGGAAGCUUCUAAUCAGAAUGUCUACAUUUUAAGAUUAGAUCUCAAAUCAGGUAGGACUACCCGCUGAACCUAAGCAUAUC
rnacentral:misc_RNA from 1 species